rnacentral:rRNA from 1 species
UACGUAGGGUGCGAGCGUUGUCCGGAAUUAUUGGGCGUAAAGAGCUCGUAGGCGGUGUGUCACGUCGGCCGUGAAAACCUGCAGCUUAACUGUGGGCGUGCGGUCGAUACGGGCAUCACUGGAGUUCGGCAGGGGAGACUGGAAUUCCUGGUGUAGCGGUGAAAUGCGCAGAUAUCAGGAGGAACACCGGUGGCGAAGGCGGGUCUCUGGGCCACUACUGACGCUGAGAAGCGAAAGCAUGGGGAGCGAGCAGG